rnacentral:rRNA from 1 species
AUUGAACGCUGGCGGCAGGCUUAACACAUGCAAGUCGAACGCCCCGCAAGGGGAGUGGCAGACGGGUGAGUAACGCGUGGGAAUCUACCGUACCCUACGGAAUAACGCAUGGAAACGUGUGCUAAUACCGUAUACGCCCUACGGGGAAAGAUUUAUCGGGGUAUGAUGAGCCCGCGUUGGAUUAGCUAGUUGGUGGGGUA